rnacentral:misc_RNA from 1 species
GUAGGUGAACCUGCGGAGGGAUCAUUCACAUGAUUACCUAUUUUCAACAAACUGUGAACAUUAUUUACUUACUAUUCGUGUGUAUAAAAUUUCAAUUUUUUUAUAUCACACUGUCAUUCGAUGAACAUUAGAUAGCUGGCUUGAAUAAUAUAUUGUUCUUUCUCAGCUGAUUGUUUGUAUUGACUAAACAUCUUACAACAAUCCCCAUAUAAACAUAGAAACAACUCUAUGCCCUGGAUAUCUUGGUUCU